GUCUGACUGUGUGAGUGUGUGUGUCUGCUAGUGAGUGAGUGUGUGUCUGUUAGUGUGUGUCUGACUGUGUGUCAGUGAGUGUGUGUUUGCCUGUGAGUGUGUGUGUGUGUGUCUGUUAGUGUGUGUGUGAGUGUGUGUCUGUUAGUGUGAGUGUGUUUGCCUGUGAGUGUGUGUGUCAGUGAGUGUGUGUCUGUUAAUGUGUGUGUGUUUGUGUGUGUGUGUGAGUUUGUGUGUGUGUCUGCUAGUGAGUGUUUGUUAGUGUGUAUGUGUGUGUCUGACUGUGUGUCAGUGAGUGUGUGUGUGUGUCUGCUAGUGAGUGUGUGUGUCAGUGAGUGUGUGUCUGUUAGUGUGAGUGUGUUUGCCUGUGAGUGUGUGUGUCAGUGAGUGUGUGUCUGUUAAUGUGUGUGUUUGUUAGUGUGUGUGUGAGUUUGUGUGUG